rnacentral:lncRNA from 1 species
CUUCCACUGCCAAUGCCUAUUCUCUCUGCUCUUUAGGGCUUCUCCCAAAUCCUCCUCCUUCGAUCGUAUACCCAUUCCUCGAACCAUUAUUUUGGAACCAUGGCGAACGACCAUGCCACGAUGGAGGACGACGAGAUCACCCAGGAGGACGCCUUAGCAGCCAUCAGCGCCUACUUCGAGGAGGACGGCCUCGUGCACCACCAGCUCGACUCCUUCGAUGAGUUCAUCAAGAACACAAUGCAAGAGAUCGUGGAUGAGUCCGCCGACAUUGAGAUACACCCUGAGCACCAACACCACCCCGAUCGCCAGCCCGACUCUGAUGAGAUCCCCCUCUCUUUUCCUCGUUGAUUGGAAGUGGUAGCGAUUGAUAUGUACAUCGGUUUCUUGGUCGAUUGACUAGGAACAUCGUGCUCUAUCACUUCUUGUCGUGCAAUCUAUCAACUUGAAUCGAAUGAUCUUUUUUGUCGAAUUUGUUCUAGAAAAGAAGGGUUUCCCUCUUCUGAGUCGUCCUAGUUUGUCUUCGUGCAGACCAUUCUUCACAAGAUAAGCUUCGAUCGGAUAUACUUGAGCAAACCUAUGGUGACCGAAUCAAAUGGAGAAACCAUUCACAAGAUAAGCUUCGAUCGGAUAUACUUGAGCAAACCUAUGGUGACCGAAUCAAAUGGAGAAACUAUAAAAUUAUUCCUCAAAAUACAACAUUGAGGAACUUGAUUUAUUUAGCUUCGUUAUAAGUUGAUGUUACUAAAAUCCUCAUCAAGAAACGACAGGAUUGUGAAAUCGUUGCAAAGACUCAAGACUUACUAAAAGUAUUUAUUGGAAAAGUAAUUGAUUCUUUUGAGCUGUAUAAUU